GCGAGAUUGGCGGAAUCGGCAGACGCGCACGUUUAAGGGGCGUGUGGGAGACCGUGUGAGUUCAAGUCUCACAUCUCGCACCA
rnacentral:tRNA from 4 species